CUUGAAGCCCCCGGGUUAGGGGGAGCGGGACAGCCCCUCCUCCGGCGGUGAUGUCAUUGCCCCUCCGCAGCUUCUCGCUGUCCACGGCUGCCGGGGCUGGGUCACCCUUACCCCAUCGCCAGACCCCGGAUUCCCCCCAAUCUGCCUCUCCUCGACCAGGGUAUGUGGCCUUCGCCUCACUCUUCUUCAUCCUCAUUUCCAUCACCACCUUCUGCCUGGAGACCCACGAAGGCUUCAUCCACAUCAGCAACAAGACAGUGACGCAGGCCUCCCCCAUCCCUGGGGCCCCGCCUGAGAAUAUCACCAACGUGGAGGUGGAGACAGAGCCUUUCCUGACCUACGUGGAGGGCGUGUGUGUGGUCUGGUUCACCUUUGAGUUCCUCAUGCGAAUCACCUUCUGCCCGGACAAGGUGGAGUUUCUCAAGAGCAGCCUCAACAUCAUCGACUGUGUCGCCAUUUUGCCCUUCUACCUGGAGGUGGGCCUCUCGGGCCUCAGCUCCAAGGCCGCCAAGGACGUGCUGGGCUUUUUGCGUGUCGUCCGCUUUGUCCGAAUCCUGCGCAUCUUUAAGCUGACCCGUCACUUUGUGGGGCUGCGGGUGCUGGGCCACACACUCCGUGCCAGCACCAAUGAGUUCCUGCUGCUUAUCAUCUUCCUGGCCCUGGGGGUGCUCAUCUUUGCCACCAUGAUUUAUUAUGCUGAGCGCAUUGGCGCUGACCCUGAUGACAUCCUGGGAUCCAACCACACCUACUUCAAGAACAUCCCCAUUGGCUUCUGGUGGGCUGUGGUCACCAUGACGACCCUGGGCUAUGGAGACAUGUACCCCAAGACCUGGUCUGGGAUGCUAGUUGGGGCGUUGUGUGCCCUGGCGGGGGUGCUGACCAUCGCCAUGCCUGUUCCUGUCAUUGUCAACAACUUUGGCAUGUACUAUUCGCUGGCCAUGGCCAAACAGAAGUUGCCCAAGAAGAAAAACAAACACAUCCCCCGGCCCCCCCAGCCUGGCUCGCCCAACUACUGCAAGCCUGACCCACCCCCACCUCCCCCACCCCAUCCUCACCACGGCAGCGGUGGCAUCAGCCCUCCACCACCCAUCACUCCCCCCUCCAUGGGGGUGACUGUGGCCGGGGCCUACCCGCCUGGGCCCCACACGCACCCCGGGCUGCUCAGGGGAGGUGCAGGGGGACUGGGGAUCAUGGGGCUGCCUCCUCUGCCGGCCCCUGGUGAGCCCUGCCCACUGGCUCAGGAGGAAGUGGUUGAAAUCAACAGGGCAGAUCCCCGCCCCAAUGGUGACCCUGCUGCUGCUGCACUGGCCCACGAGGACUGCCCUGCCAUUGACCAGCCCGCCAUGUCACCUGAGGACAAGAGUCCCAUCACCCCUGGAAGUCGGGGCCGCUAUAGCCGGGACCGCGCCUGCUUCCUCCUCACUGACUACGCCCCUUCCCCUGACGGCUCCAUCCGAAAAGCCACUGGUGCUCCCCCACUACUCCCCCAAGACUGGCGUAAGCCAGGCCCCCCAAGCUUCUUGCCCGACCUCAACGCCAACGCUGCGGCCUGGAUAUCCCCCUAGUGGACGAAUCCCCUUCCCCCGGGAUCUCACUUAAGUUGCCCAGGCUGAGGUUGGACUCAAUCCUGCUUCAGCCUCCCCCCAACUAGGAUUGCAGACUGUGCCGCCAUUCCCCGUAGCAAUGAGGACCCAGCUCCAGGCGGUGGAGACCUGUGGGCAGAUGUUCAGCUUUACAUCUAGAGCACAGCUCUUGUCACCGCCUGAGACCUCGCGAGACCCUCGGGUCCCCCCUGCCCCUUUCCCCCAGGUUAGCAAUUGGGAAUGGUGGGGAGGGGGUGUCCCCCAGAUAGCAGGCUUCAGUCCCCAAGGCCCUCUAUCCUCCAGUCAGGACCCCCACCUCCAGACAGCCCAUCGGCUCUGCCUGGUCGCAGACCUCCAGCUGUACCCCUAGGGCCUUCCCUUCCCGCAGGUGCCCAUCUGCGGUCCCACACCUCCCGUCACUACCCGGACGUUUCCCCGGAUGCUCCUGGACCCUGGACCCCUAGCCUCAGCCUGAGCCUCGCCCCUCCCUCUGCCCUUGGAGUCCGCCUCCGACUCCCCAAGGGCGCCGCCCCCUGCUUUGGCUCCAUCUAGCCCUCCCCUCCUGUCCCUCGGACAGGUGGCCCCCAGCCCUGCUGCUGCCGCCUCAGCUGGCCCCCCAGGCCUCUCCUCCGGCUGCUCCCUACUUGCAUUCAACCCAGCCCCUCCUCACGACCCUGCCGCCCACCAUCCCGCCUUGCUGCCCCCCACCUUUGGCCUCAGACCAGGGGACCACGAGGGUGGGUUGGAGAGGGGAGGGGGGAGGGGCGGAGGCUCGGUGGGCGCCGCCCGCCUCCUAAUCCGGAGUCUCUCCCCCCCCUGUGUCUGCACCUUCCUCGUGGACGCUGACUGACUCUGCGAUUUGUUCACUUCUCUCUCUCCAUCUCCUCGGUCCGCUCCACCCAUCUCUGCCCCUUGCCUGUCUUUUUGUGUCUCCCUCCCUGUCUGUCCCUGUCUCUGUCUCUAACUGUCCCCCACUGCCUUCGUCUCUGGGUGUCUCUCGCCCUCUCCAUCUCUCCUCCCUGUCUUGGGGUCCCUCCGCGGGACCCUCUCCGCACCCCAUCUCCAUGCUUUUUCCCCAUGUUUCUGCCCCUCCCCAGGUUACGAGAAAUCCCGCAGCCUGAGCAGCAUCGCGGGCCUGAGCGGGGUGUCCCUGCGCCUCGCGCCCCUUGCCACUCCCCCUGGCUCUCCUCGGGCCACCCGCCGCGCCCCUCCAACCCUGCCCUCCAUCCUCUAGCGCUCCCCUCCCCCCUGUGGGGGGACUCGGGGGUGACCCGGAAGGUGAAAGGAGCUAGGGGUGGGGUGGAGGGGAGAAAGGUAUUUUUUUUAAAAAAUCAAAAAGUCAUUAAUAUGCAACCGAGAUGAUGAAGCCAGCAGACACCCCCGGGCCCCUCGCCCCCUCACCUGGGCCCCCAGGAUGGAAGGGGAGGGGCCAGAUCCCAUCCCCCAACUCACUUCCCCACAAAAAGCCUUCUCAGGUCUCCAUGAGCCAUAGGACACCCUCCCCCAUCGAGUCGUGUAAAUAAGUCCAAACGACACCAAAUCCAUCUUGGGGCACCUAUCCCCCCCCACUAUGCAUGCUCAGCCGGACCCCUGCUCCCCAGCCACCUCAGCAAUAAGCCGCCAGGGGCUGCAUGCCGCAAGUUGGAGGGGAGGGGGCCCCCAGAAGCUCUAGGGGUUGGGCAGGUCUUCGAGCCACACGGGGUCCUCUGGCUUCUGGCCCUUCCCUCCAGGGAAACUACCCCCCCCACACACACACACUUUUGAAAAGGAGACCAGCUAGGGACUAGAAGCUGGGGUGUCCACGCUUGGCUGAGGCACAUGGUGGGUUGCCCAGCGGGGGCCCCCAGCCUUCCGGAAGAUCCCGUUGGUGAUCCUCCUCCCUCCAGGGAGCUGCUCGCCUCUGUGCCAGGUGCAUGGACUCAGACCUCCCAACCCCAGAGUUACUGGGAAGAUCUGGCCACCACAAAAUCCCGGCCCGCCCCGCCCCGACCCCCCCAGGACAUGAGACCCGCAUCUGGAAUUCCUGAGAGGGCCCUGGCACCCCGCACCCCCAAAUCUCCACACACUUCCAGGAUGUAGCCUCUGCAAACAGAGCCUUGCCUGCCCCUCCCCCUCUCCCUGGACUGCAUCCCAGCACUUCAGAGCUCCAAGCUUCAGCUCAGCCCAGCCUUUGGGAUGCUCCAGGUCGUUCCCACAAUUUCAAAAUCUGGACAGCCCCAGAUCCUCAGGCCUGCCUCCCAAACACUCCCAAGUUUCCCAAAGAUCACCAGACUCAUUCAUCCCAGAUCCCCUGAUGCUAGAACUUCCAAGGCAGGCUCUGCCUGUCUGCAAUUCCAGGGAGCCAGACCCCGGCACUCCUUCCUUCCUCUCUAGCCCUGGCCACAAAUCCCUUCCCUGAGAUGGUGCCCAAAGGUACUUUCUUUGUGGCCACCAGUUUCCUGGAGUAUCGCACUGGUGCCCUUGCUGGUGGGACAAGGUUGUAGGCCGUCCAAGGACGAGCACCUGUUUGAAAAGUCUCCUCUUGGACGCGCACAUGUUGCGCAUCUAACUGGUGAGUCCGGGAGCGCUCCUGGUCGAGGCGUCCUCAUUAAGGUUCCAUUUGAGGCAGUCCCAAAAUGGUCGCAGAGGCUGCGGCCGGCUGGAAAGUCGGCUUGGGAAACCCGGGACAGGGGCUGGCGCUCCUCAGGGGCCGCCACCCUCUCCUGUGGAAAGCCGUCCCUCAUACCCCACCCAGGCUCAAGGAUGCGCUACCUCCCCCUGGCCCAGAGACCUCGCUGGUCCCAGAAUCCUUCGCGGACCCCCCUUUUGGAGCUGGGGGCCCGUGGAAUCAGCACCCUCCCUCCCUCUGCUCCCACGGCCUCAGGGACACCCUCACGCCCACCCAAGGGUAGGUGAGGGGCGUCACUGAGCACGAUUCUCGAUGCAACGAUUCCUAUGCAAGGGGCAUUUUGAGUCCCCCCAGCCUCCUCUCGGCCCCUAAG